CACGCUGUAAACGAUGUCGAUUUGGAGUUUGUGCCAUUAUGAGCGUGGGUUCCGAAGCUAACGCGAUAAAUCGACCGCCUGGGGAGUACGGCCGCAAGGUUAAAACUCAAAUGAAUUGACGGGGGCCCGCACAAGCGGUGGAGCAUGUGGUUUAAUUCGAUGCAACGCGAAGAACCUUACCUGGCCUUGACAUGCUGAGAAUUCUGUAGAGAUACGGAAGUGCCUUCGGGAACUCAGACACAGGUGC
rnacentral:rRNA from 1 species